GAUGCUGGGUUGGCGCGCCUGGCACACCUGAGAGGCAGGUGCCUGGAGGCCUCCUUUUACAGAGAGGCAGACUUGGCCAGGGCCACACAGGCAGGCUCCUUGCUGUCCCACACACUCCUGGGGACAAACAGGGACAGGGGUUUUUUCUCUCAUAGCUGUGAGUUCAUGGGAGAGAAGGCCAAAGGCAGGUGGCCUGCAGCCCCAGUUCCCAGGAGGCCAGCAAAGGCCAGGGCAGGAGGACUGCAGCCCGCACUGCGCCGACCGGGCAGGUGGCCACACUGCCUCGGGGACCGGGAAAUGCGCUCCCUCCGCCUGCCUGCCCGGCAGCGUCCCGUGGCCGCCUGCCAGGCCCCGCCUGACGUCAGGGUCUGACCAGGGACAUAAUGUGCUGGCGUGGGGACAAGCGCUGACUGCAGAGACAGAGGGCCACCCCAUGAGGCCAUGCUUCUCAGCUGGGGACAGUUUCGUCUCCUGGGAGACGCUGGCUCUCUCUGGGGACACUCUACGUUGUCACGACUGGGAGAUGCUCUGGUUUCCGGUGGGUGGAGGCCAGCGAUGCAGCACCACAGCCCACAACGCACAGGACGCCCCACUGGUGAAGAGGAUCUGGCCCCAAAUGUCCAUGGGCCAAGGUCGACAGCCUGCUAGGAGAAGGGACGGCCCUCGUCCACCCUGGCACCAUGAGUCCCCAGCACCGACGGCGGGACAGUGACUGGAGAAGACUCAAGAACAGCAGCGGCCUCAGGCCCACAUGGUGGCCUCUGUGGGUUCUGGACUGGAACCCAGAACUGACGCAGAAGUUACACCCAGUGAGCUGCCUCCCCGUCACUGACGACACAGCAGCGACGCAGAAGCCUCCGCUCUGUGUGGACAGCCCUGUGUCCUCCCGGAGGUCAGACGGCUGAAGCACAGCAGUUUAGGAUACCCACAGCACCAGGGACCUGGGGCUGCUGCUCCCUGGGGAAACGAAGGCCUGGAGAGGGGGGUCUUCCCCAGGUGCAGUCAGCUGGGGUUCCGCCCCCACGGAGCUGCAGCGGCUCUUCUCCGGAGUUCCCAGCAUGCUCUGGGCUGCAGGGCAGAGUGGGUGGACAUGUCCCUGCCCCGAGUCCCGAGUCCCGGAUGAGCCUGGGGCAGGCCCAGCAGCGCCUCAAGCGGACUGUGAAAAAUGAGGUUUAGGGGUUAGGGUCUGGGUCCCUGGAGUCAAACUCCAGCUCAGCCCCUCCCUGCUGGGUGGCCUCAGGAAAGUGGCUUUCCCUUUCUGGCCCAGGGCUCUUCUGAUUACUCCAACUAAAAUUCUUCCCAUAGUAAAUAAAGUCCUGUGGACUGUAUCUUAAAACACAAAGAUCCAGUCUCUACGCUCACUGACAUUUCUAUCAGAUUGGAAUGCUUGAGGUAUACAAAUGUAGUCACAAUAAAAUGUAAUAAAUCUAAUUUGAAAAAAUGAACAAUAAAC